CGAGUCCAUAAGCAUGAGCUGCCUGAAGGGGAACUUCAGAGGCUAGAGACUGCGGAAAUGAAUGACUGAUGGAUUAAUGGGCCGAGAGGGACGGGUGCUGGCGGAAGAAAAGUCGAUGGGUCGGCCUGGUCCUGCAGGUUUGAAGGACCACGCAAAUUCCUCAGAAGAGACAGCGGGGUGCACACAAUAUGUUUUGCAAAAAUCGACAAGGAUUUAACCCUGAAAUAUCGGGCAUAUGUUUCCUUUCGACGUCACAAAAUAUAACUUUAAUAAAUUGUUAAAACUGAUUAAAAAAAAAAAAAGAUAUUUUACACCAGUGCCAUUCUGGACAGAAGCGAAUGGGAACGUUGCAUGUGGAUGGCAGCCAACCAAAAGGCUGUUUUUGUUGUGACGCAGAUUUUACUACCAAUAGAUUUAAGCUACGUACUAUAUGAUUUCUGACAGUUCCGGGUUAAAGAAUGCCCAAAAAUGUCGCAAAUAAAAAAAUAGUCUACCUUUGAAAA